GCCGAGGUGGUGAAAUUGGUAGACGCACCAGACUCAAAAUCUGGCGAGAGCAAUCUCGUGGGGGUUCGAUUCCCCCUCUCGGCA
rnacentral:tRNA from 1 species